GACGUAGGGGGCGAGCGUUGUCCGGAUUUAUUGGGCGUAAAGAGCUCGUAGGCGGCUCGUUGCGUCGGCUGUGAAAACCCGCGGCUCAACCGUGUGGUCUGCAGUCGAUACGGGCAGGCUAGAGUUCGGUAGGGGAGACUGGAAUUCCUGGUGUAGCGGUGAAAUGCGCAGAUAUCAGGAGGAACACCGGUGGCGAAGGCGGGUCUCUGGGCCGAUACUGACGCUGAGGAGCGAAAGCGUGGGGAGCGAACAGG
rnacentral:rRNA from 1 species